CAGUAAUUCUAUAAGGUCUAAGUCUCCAGAUGAAAACCAACUUCCAGCCGUCAACUCUAAAAAAUGAAAUCAAGGGACGAGACGAUCUCCAAAAUAAAUCGCAUACUCUACACGGCGUUACUGUCAUGCACAGCCUACGUUACGGGUUGUACAGGCACUUUGAUCGGCCUCUCCCUCCCUGACAUCCAGUGUUUGCUGGGCAUCGACCUGAAAGUAGCCAGUUCCCUGCUGUUUGCCUAUGGUUUAGGCAUGUGUUGCAGUAGCGUCACGGGACACUUCAU